CCAAUAGCGUAUAUUAAAGUUGUUGCAGUUAAAAAGCUCGUAGUUGAACUUCGGGGUCUACCCAUUGGUCAGGCUUAAUUGUCUGCACUGGUGAGAUGGAUCUCUACCUUCUGAGGAACUUUCAUGCCAUUUAUUUGGUGUGGUUGGAAAUCAGGACUGUUACUUUGAAAAAAUUAGAGUGUUUAAAGCAGACUAUCGUCUGAAUACAUUAGCAUGGAAUAAUGAAAUAGGACGGACUGAUUCUAUUUCGUUGGUUUCUAGGAUCACCGUAAUGAUUAAUAGGGAUAGUUGGGGGCAUUAGUAUUCAAUUGUCAGAGGUGAAAUUCUUGGAUUUAUUGAAGACUAACUACUGCGAAAGCAUUUGCCAAGGAUGUUUUCAUUAAUCAAGAACGAAAGUUAGGGGAUCGAAGACGAUCAGAUACCGUCGUAGUCUUAACCAUAAACUAUGCCGACUAGGAAUCAGACGAUGUUAAUUUUUUAAUGACUCAUUCGGCGCCUUACA
rnacentral:misc_RNA from 1 species